rnacentral:misc_RNA from 1 species
GAUGAAGAACGUAGCGAAAUGCGAUAAGUAAUGGGAAUUGCAGAAUUCAGUGAAUCAUCGAAUCUUUGAACGCACAUUGCGCCCUCUGGUAUUCCGGGGGGCAUGCCUGUUCGAGCGUCAUUACAACCCUCAGGCCCCCGGGCCUGGCGUUGGGGAUCGGCGGAAGCCCCCUGCGGGCACAACGCCGUCCCCCAAAUACAGUGGCGGUCCCGCCGCAGCUUCCAUUGCGUAGUAGCUAACACCUCGCAACUGGAGAGCGGCGCGGCCACGCCGUAAAACACCCAACUUCUGAAUGUUGACCUCGAAUCAGGUAGGAAUACCCGCUGAACUUAAGCAUAUCAAUAAGCGGAGGA